GGAGAGGUGGCAGAGUGGUCUAUCGCGACGGUCUUGAAAACCGUUGGGGCGAAAGCUCCCGGGGGUUCGAAUCCCUCCCUCUCCGCCA
rnacentral:tRNA from 1 species